ACGUCGCCGCUAUCAUGUAUAAAURAUAGUGCUCUGAUCUAGUACACGCGCAGCUACCURUYURRRMAUAACMGGAAAAAAAAAAAAUGUUUGCGGUAAACUGCAUAUCAAUAAGCGGAGGGAAAAGAAACUAACAAGGAUUYCCCCUAGUAACUGCGAAGUGAAGCGGGAAAAGCUCAAAUUUAAAAUCUGGUGGUCUUUGAUCAUCCGAGUUGUAAUCUAGAGAAGUGUUAUCCGCGCUGGACCGUGUACAAGUCUCCUGGAAUGGAGCGUCAUAGAGGGUGAGAAUCCCGUCUUUGACACGGACUGCCAGGGCUUUGUGAUGCGCUCUCAAAGAGUCGAGUUGUUUGGGAAUGCAGCUCAAAAUGGGUGGUAAAUUCCAUCUAAAGCUAAAUAUUGGCGAGAGACCGAUAGCGAACAAGUACCGUGAGGGAAAGAUGAAAAGAACUUUGGAAAGAGAGUUAAACAGUACGUGAAAUUGCUGAAAGGGAAACGCUUGAAGUCAGUCGCGUUGGCCGGGGAUCAACCUUGCUUUUGCUGGGCGUACUUUCCGGUUGACGGGUCAGCAUCAAUUUUGACCGUUGGAUAAAGUUCAGGGGAAUGUGGCAUCUUCGGAUGUGUUAUAGCCUCUGUUCGCAUACAACGGUUGGGAUUGAGGAACUCAGCACGCCGCAAGGCCGGGUAUUUAUACUACGUUCGUGCUUAGGAUGCUGGCAUAAUGGCUUUAAUCGACCCGUCUUGAAACACGGACCAAGGAGUCUAACAUGCCUGCGAGUGUUUGGGUGGAAAACCCGAGCGCGUAAUGAAAGUGAAAGUUGAGAUCCCUGUCGUGGGGAGCAUCGACGCCCGGACCAGACCUUUUGUGACGGAUCCGCGGUAGAGCAUGUAUGUUGGGACCCGAAAGAUGGUGAACUAUGCCUGAAUAGGGUGAAGCCAGAGGAAACUCUGGUGGAGGCUCGUAGCGAUUCUGACGUGCAAAUCGAUCGUCAAAUUUGGGUAUAGGGGCGAAAGACUAAUCGAMCYMUMUAGUAGCUGGGUCUGCGGCCCUCUCCCCUGAGAGAAGACUUCUGUUGAGUUAUGGUCUCCCCACAUACACACUUUAGAACGUUUGGCAGAAUAAUAUCGUGCGCUACCCACGAAUAUUGUCUAGGUUAGCGUUAUCAGAGACAUAAGUUCUAGUCUGGUAGUUCACAGACAUGCCUACGGUAAUCCUCCAUAUAAGGCUGUUGCCCG
rnacentral:rRNA from 1 species